rnacentral:rRNA from 1 species
CUCUUCCCAUUCCGAACAGAGUCGUUAAGCCCCGGAGCGCCCAUGGUACUGCCUUCACCGGCGGGAGAGUAGGUCGCCGCCAACC